GACGAACGCUGGCGGCGUGCUUAACACAUGCAAGUCGAGCGGUAAGGCCCUUUCGGGGGUACACGAGCGGCGAACGGGUGAGUAACACGUGGGUGACCUGCCCUCAGCUCUGGGAUAAGCCUGGGAAACCGGGUCUAAUACCGGAUAUGACUCCAUGACGCAUGUUGUGGGGUGGAAAGCCUUGUGCGGCUGAGGAUGGGCCCGCGGCCUAUCAGCUUGUUGGUGGGGUGAUGGCCUACCAAGGCGACGACGGGUAGCCGGCCUGAGAGGGCGACCGGCCACACUGGGACUGAGACACGGCCCAGACUCCUACGGGAGGCAGCAGUGGGGAAUCUUGCGCAAUGGGCGAAAGCCUGACGCAGCGACGCCGCGUGGGGAUGAAGCUUCUCGGAGUGUAAACCCCUUUCGACCCGGACGAAU
rnacentral:rRNA from 1 species